UGGACAACAGGAUAAUGGCGU
rnacentral:miRNA from 2 species